AGUGAACGCUGGCGGUAUGCCUAACACAUGCAAGUCGAACGGCAGCACAGUAAGAGCUUGCUCUUACGGUUGGCGAGUGGCGGACGGGUGAGGAAUACAUCGGAAUCUACUUUUUCGUGGGUGAUAACGUAGGGAAACUUACGCUAAUACCGCAUACGACCUACGGGUGAAAGCAGGGGAUCUUCGGACCUUGCGCGAUUGAAUGAGCCGAUGUCGGAUUAGCUAGUUGGCGGGGUAAAGGCCCACCAAGGCGACGAUCCGUAGCUGGUCUGAGAGGAUGGUCAGCCACACUGGAACUGAGACACGGUACAGACUCCUAAGGGAGGCAGCAGUGGGGAAUAGUGGACAAUGGGCGCAAGCCUGAUCCAGCAAUACCGCGUGGGUGAAGAAGGCCUUCGGGUUGUAAAGCCCUUUUGUUGGGAAAGAAAAGCAGCAGGUUAAUACCCCGCUGUUCUGACGGUACCCAAAGAAUAAGCACCGGCUAACUUCGUG
rnacentral:rRNA from 1 species